UGCAAGGGCACUCUGUGUUAUUCAUUCCAUAUGAUAAUUACAAUUUGUUACCUUGCUAUAUCAAAUCUACCAAAUCCUAUUCCAUGUAGCUUGCAUGUGGCUACCUGGUCAUAGUGGUGGAUACAAU
rnacentral:snoRNA from 1 species